rnacentral:rRNA from 1 species
UACAGAGGGGGCAAGCGUUGUUCGGAAUUACUGGGCGUAAAGGGCGCGUAGGUGGCCUUCUAAGUCGAACGUGAAAUCCCUGGGCUCAACCCAGGAACUGCGUCCGAUACUGGGAGGCUUGAAUCCGGGAGAGGGAUGUGGAAUUCCAGGUGUAGCGGUGAAAUGCGUAGAUAUCUGGAGGAACACCGGUGGCGAAGGCGGCAUCCUGGACCGGUAUUGACGCUGAUGCGCGAAAGCCAGGGGAGCAAACGGG